GGUUCGAUCAUGGCUCAGAUUGAACGCUGGCGGAUGCUUUACACAUGCAAGUCGAACGGCAGCACGGACUUCGGCCUGGUGGCGAGUGGCGAACGCAAUGUAUCGGAACGUGCCUAGUAGCGGGGGAUAACUACGCCGAAAGCGUAGCUAAUACCGCAUACGCCUUCGGGGAAAGCGGGGGACCUUCGCCUCGCACUAUUAGAGCGGCCGAUAUCGGAUUAGCUAGUUGGUGGGGUAACGGCUCACCAAGGCGACGAUCCGUAGCCGGUUUGAGGACGACCAGCCACACUGGGAUCGAGACACGGGUCAGACUCCUACGGGAGGCAGGGGAAUUUUGGAUACAAUGGGGAAACUCCUGAUCCAGCCAUCCUUGCGUGUGCGAUGAAGGCCUUCGGGUUGUAAAGCACUUUUUGGCAGGAAGAAACGAAGUAUCGAUAACACCGUGCAACUGACGGUACCUGCGGGUGAAUAAGUACCGGCUAACUAUGCCAGCAGCCGCGGUAAUACGUAGGGUGCAAGCGUUAAUCGGAAUUACCGGGCGAAGCGUGCGCAGGCGGUUCGGAAAGAAAGAUGAAAUCCCAGAGCUUAACUUUUGGAGCUGCAUUUUUAACUACCGAGUCAGAGUGUGUCAGAGGGAGGUGGAAUUCCGCGUGUAGCAGUGAAACGCGUAGAUAUGCGGAGGAACACCGAUGGCGAAGGCAGCCUCCUGGGAUAACACUGACGCUCAUGCACGAAAGCGUGGGAUAAACAGGAUUAGAUACUCCGGUAGUCCACGCCCCAAACGAUGUCAACUAGGCUGCCAGCUUUCGGGCCUUGGUAGCGCAGCUAACACGAAGUUGACCGCCUGGAGUACGGUCGCAAGAUUAAAACUCAAAGGAAUUGACGGGGACCCGCACAAGCGGUGGAUGAUGUGGAUUAAUUCGAUGCAACGCGAAAAACCUUACCUACCCUUGACAUGUCUGGAAUCCCCUGAAGAGAUCAGAGUGUUUGCAAGAGAACUGAACACAGGUGCUGCAUGGCUGUCGUCAGCUCGUGUCGAGAUGUUGGGUUAAGUCCCGCAACGAGCGCAACCCUUGUCAUUAGUUGCUAUGAAAGCGCACUCUUAAUGAGAUCGUUACAUAAACCGGAGUGGAAGGUGGGGAUGACGUCAAGUCCUCAUGCUCCCGGCGGGUAGGGCUUUCACACGUCAUACAAUGGUCGGGACAGAGGGUCGCCAACCCGCGAGGGGAUAAUCCCAGAAACCCGAUCGUAGUCCGGAUCGCAGUCUGCAACUCGACUGCGUGAAGUCGGAAUCGCCAGUAAUCGCGGACUGUGCAUGUCGCGGUGAAUACGUUCCCGGGUCUUGCACACACCGCCCGUCACACCAUGGGAGUGGGUUUUACCAGAAGUAGUUAGCCUAACCGUAAGGAGGGCGAUUACCACGGUAGGAUUCAUGAUUGGGGUGAAGCCGCAACAAGGUAGCUCCC
rnacentral:rRNA from 1 species